UACGUAGGUGACAAGCGUUGUCCGGAUUUACUGGGCGUAAAGAGCGCGCAGGCGGUCGUUCAAGUCGAGUGUGAAAGCCCCCGGCUCAACUGGGGAGGGUCAUUCGAUACUGAUCGACUCGAAGGCAGGAGAGGGAAGUGGAAUUCCCGGUGUAGUGGUGAAAUGCGUAGAUAUCAGGAAGAACACCCGUGGCGAAGGCGGCUCUCUGGGACGGUACUGACGCUGAGACGCGAAAGCGUGGGGAGCGAACAGG
rnacentral:rRNA from 1 species